rnacentral:rRNA from 1 species
UACGGAGGGUGCAAGCGUUGUUCGGAAUCACUGGGCGUAAAGGGCGUGUAGGCGGCUUGUUAAGUCUGAUGUGAAAUCCCCUCGCUCAACGAGGGAACUGCGUCGGAACUGGCAGCUUGAGUACCGGAGAGGAAGGUGGAAUUCCCGGUGUAGCGGUGGAAAUGCGUAGAUAUCGGGAGGAACACCGGUGGCGAAGGCGGCCUCUGGACGGAUACUGGACGCUGAUACGCGAAAG